rfam:Bordetella genomosp. 8 strain AT19157, complete genome.
GGGGCCGAUCCGGAUUCGACGUGGGUCGCGAAACAGUGCAGGGCAUGCCGAGCACCAGUCAGCUCGUAAAUCCACUGGAACACUACAAACGCCAACGACGCGUUCUUCGCUCAAGCAAAAGCUGCUUAAUGAGCCGCUGCACUGACUUGUCUUUGGGUCAGGUGGAGGAAGGUAAAACUUCCUAGGGGGCAACCCCGAACCGCUGCAGUGUCAUCGAACAAAGAAUCGGUGUGGACUGGGGUCUGACGGUUCACACUUAAAUCACAUGACUCGCUUCGGGCCGGCCUGUCGGUUGGCUAAGUCCGGGGUUAAAACCAAAUAGAUCGACUACGCAUGUAGAACUGCCUGCAGAGGGCUUGCGGACGGGGGUUCAAUUCCCCCCGGCUCCACCA